UGUGUGCCAUUGACAAGGGGAGUUUCAAAGAAGGGAGUGCACCUUCAUCUUUGGCCAGCUGGAUACAGACAACAAAGCCAUAAGAGAUGACCGAACCACAAACCAGUAGGGCCUCAGGGCUCCUGGCUCCGUGUGGAGUAAAGCUAGCAGCUGUUAAGGACAAGAAACCAUAUGGCAAAGCGCUUACUGGCUCUGACCGUCUCUGCACAUCCGUUCCAUUCACAUUUUCUAGGCCAAGCAAGUCACAUGGUCACAUCUAGCCGCAAGUGCACAGGUAAGUGCAAAUGUGGCUUGUGGGGACGAGAGCUGUAGAAUGUUUGAGAGCCUUCCCAGUGACUGCACACCUUCUCAACACCUUUCAAAGUAAGGAAAACAAUACCGCUUGGACCGCACAAAAUAACCUGCCCUCAUUCUUUCUUCUGCCACAGCAAGGAAUAAAGUUGUAGAUGGCGGCUGCUCUAAUGACAAAGAACAGAGUCUCCUGCUGACCCUUGACCACCGCCUAGUGUGAGCAAGCAAACAAACAUCAUGUCUUAAACGGUGGAGCUGUUGGCGUCUUUGUUGCUGUGGCUCAACUCACCCAUCUGAGGGCUGCAGUUAGGGCUUGUCCCACACCCGGCCCACACCCCCGGGCCAGUUCGCUAAUUGACUUGACUGUGUGAAUUCGCAAGGCUGCUUUACACGACACUGUCUUCCUGAAAUCUGCACCUGUACCAAGUUAGGUGCCCGUCAUCUGUCUGACAAACAAAGCUAGUGCUUUCAAUGUUGCCUUUCAGUGUGAUUAAGUAUGCUAGUGAACCUACUGUUUUAAGGUUCUUGAUAAAAAAAUGUCAAAACAAGUAAUAGGUAAUAUUCUCUAAUGAUGCUAAUUAUUCUUUUAAAUGCUUUGAUGCUGCUUUCUCUCCUGUGUGCCUGACCUAGCUUAUCUAAUCUUGCUUAGGCUUGUAACUGAAUGUCCUGUAAUACUAUUUGAAAAACACACACAUACAUAACCACUGAUACAAACGAAUCAGUGCUAAAAUGAAAGCUUUUUCAUACCAUGGCAACUAUUCAUAAAAAGGUUCACAUAAGCUAUUAGAGUCUUUUAUUUCCUGUUUCCAUUUUUAUCGAUGUGAAAUGAUUGUUGCAUAAAGCGCAAGGAAGCCA